rnacentral:rRNA from 1 species
GUACACUCCUGCGGGAGGCAGCAGUGGGGAAUUUUGGACAAUGGGCGAAAGCCUGAUCCAGCAAUGCCGCGUGUGUGAAGAAGGCCUUCGGGUUGUAAAGCACUUUUGUCCGGAAAGAAAUCCUUGGCUCUAAUACAGUCGGGGGAUGACGGUACCGGAAGAAUAAGCACCGGCUAACUACGUGCCAGCAGCCGCGGUAAUACGUAGGGUGCGAGCGUUAAUCGGAAUUACUGGGCGUAAAGCGUGCGCAGGCGGUUUGCUAAGACCGAUGUGAAAUCCCCGGGCUCAACCUGGGAACUGCAUUGGUGACUGGCAGGCUAGAGUAUGGCAGAGGGGGGUAGAAUUCCACGUGUAGCAGUGAAAUGCGUAGAGAUGUGGAGGAAUACCGAUGGCGAAGGCAGCCCCCUGGGCCAAUACUGACGCUCAUGCACGAAAGCGUGGGGAGCAAACAGGAUUAGAUACCCCGGUAGUCCCAUG